rnacentral:piRNA from 1 species
UACUAGUGUGUGAUAUUGGAGCUCCGGCU